rnacentral:rRNA from 1 species
GAUGAACGCUGGCGGCGUGCCUAAUACAUGCAAGUCGAGCGAUGAGGCGGGGGGCUUGACCCUCGGACGUGAGCGGCAGGCGGGUGUGUCACGCGUGUAUCCCCUCCCUAUCUUACUGAUAUAACUUCGAGAAAGCGGCGCUAAUACCGGAUUCUGUCUGGAACCGCAUGGUUGAAUAGUGAAGGACGGUUUUGCUGUCACUUGUGGAUGGAUCCGCGCCGCUUUGGCUAGUUGGUAAGGUAUCGGCAUACUAAGGCGACGAUGCGUCGCCGGCCUGAGGGGCUGAUCGGGCACUCUGGCACUGAGACACGGUCCAGCCUCCUACGGGACGCCGCGGGAGAGCAGCGGCCGAUAUUGGCGAAAGCAUGACGGAGCAACGCCGCGUGGGUGAUGAAGGGCUUUAGGUCUUAAAACUCUGAUAUUCGGGAAGACGAAAUGUGUAAGCAACUUUGCACGUCUUGACGGUACCGGAUGAGAAAGCCCCGGCUAACUACGUG